rnacentral:lncRNA from 1 species
UGUCUUCAUUUAAAAAAUACAUUUAGGGCUUCAAAAGAAGUGGCUCAGGCCUCUUUCACCCGAGAAGCCUUGCGUGCACUGUUAGCAAACUCACACAAGUGAAGAGGGACCUUUCUUUGCUACACAGCGUCCUCCGUGGCGAGCUGGAGGGAAGCGCUCUCAGCAGAGAGGGUCGCCCUCACCAAGAAGCCAAAGGGAAGAGGACAGAAUCUAUCUUGUAGGGACGCCCUUGGUCUUCAGAAGGAACACUUUUUCUGUUUCACAGAGAUCUGUGGAAUGUGUGGGUUCCCUGAAGAGGUGGACGGACCCCCGGGGUCGCGCGUUUUCUCAGCCCUGGGCCCGUAGCGGAGCUCGAUCCUUCCAGAGCUCAGGGCCAGAAAUGUUGCGAUUCCGAACACUUUGCCUUUCUUCUGAGAGGAGCCGCCCGGCAGACGCUCAUCAUUAAGAAGCAACGUAAUUAACAACGAAUGUUUCCCCUUGGCGCUAAUGCGAACACCCUGGGGAACUGCCAAGUCUGAUAUGUCCACCGCAUUACAAAUGGGAUUCUCUGGCAUCUGACCAACCCUCACAAUGGCUACUGGCCAUCUCAUGCCCAACAGGACAAUGCUUAUUUCCACCAGGAGAUGGCGCAUGCCUUUUUUUUUUUUUUUUUAAAUCCCCAGGAAGGUCUCAGUGCUGCAAAAGCUCCAUGACCAUUCUGCUUCUAAACUGACGGAGCAAACAUAUAUUUCCAGUGGUAAUGCUAGGAAAUACUUUGCUAAGGAUGUUACUUUGGUCCUUCAGCCAGUGGUCAGAGAACAGAAUGACCAUACUGCAACCACCCAUGGUGAACUGACUGGCACACCUACAAAAAUCUUAUCUUUGGGGUCCCCAUAGUACCCAGUGGAUUGCCUUGCACAUUGUAGGUGCUCAGUAUGUGUUUGCUAAAGACAUGACCCUGGAUAAAUCACUUCACCUCAAUUAGUCUGUUUCCCAAAUCUGAAAAUAAAAGCAGUGAAAUGGACAAGGUGACAGUUAAGGCCUUGAAUCAGAAGAGCCUCUGACAAUGUGACAAAUAGCUUAUGCUUGCUGAAUGGCUGACUUCUCUGAAAGGGAAAACAGCAGAAUCUGAGAGGGGAGAGUGGAGCGGAGUUCUUCCUCCCCUGUGCUAACAGGUAUGUGAUUCCUAUUAUUGUCUUUGGUGGGAAGGGAAGCAUGAGGCAGGCCCCUGGUCUACAGUGGAAGUGAAGCCUGAGGAUAGGCUAAGAAUUAGGGAAAUUAACAGGCUCCUAGGAGUCAGAAUGCUCAGCUUCUAUUCCCAGCACUGCUUAAAAUUUUCAGGGGAAAGUACUUUAUAAUCCUUGCAGCAUUUGGUGCCUUUAUUAGAAAAUCCUUUUAUGUGAGAUUUUGAGUUUCUUAUUUUCUCUCCUCACCAGGAUAAUGCACAGAAAGAGCUGAGGUGGGAGUCCGAGAGACAGGGGUCUGACAUGUAUAAUAUACUCUGCUGCACAGGAUUAUCAUGAGGGUUAAAUGAAAUAAUAAAUGUAGAUUACACUUAGCUCAGGACCUGCCACACACUUAGCUGAGGGCCAGGAAUUCAAUAACCAAUGACUAUCAAUGUCAAUCAUUCUAGCUAUUUUGUAGAUGCAAAGUCCAAUAGAAACAGAAAGGGUGCAAAGCUAAAACUUUUAAAAUACUCAGACCCAGACUCUAAUCCAUUAAAAAAAAAAAAGCAAAAAACAAAAAAGAUAAUCCCUAAUUUUUCUUAACCUUGCAUUUUUCCAUUGAGAGGUGGUGACUUCCUAAAAUGGAGGUAGACAGAUAGAUAGAGAAUCUGUAUAACAACAUACGUAAUCUAGAUACCUAUAUCUUUAUAAGGAAACCAGGUAAGGGACACUUGAGAAAC